GAUGAACGCUGGCGGCGUGCCUAAUACAUGCAAGUCGAGCGAACGGACGAGAAGCUUGCUUCUCUGAUGUUAGCGGCGGACGGGUGAGUAACACGUGGAUAACCUACCUAUAAGACUGGGAUAACUUCGGGAAACCGUAGCUAAUACCGGAUAAUAUUUUGAACCGCAUGGUUCAAAAGUGAAAGACGGUCUUGCUGUCACUUAUAGAUGGAUCCGCGCUGCAUUAGCUAGUUGGUAAGGUAACGGCUUACCAAGGCAACGAUGCAUAGCCGACCUGAGAGGGUGAUCGGCCACACUGGAACUGAGACACGGUCCAGACUCCUACGGGAGGCAGCAGUAGGGAAUCUUCCGCAAUGGGCGAAAGCCUGACGGAGCAACGCCGCGUGAGUGAUGAAGGUCUUCGGAUCGUAAAACUCUGUUAUUAGGGAAGAACAUAUGUGUAAGUAACUGUGCACAUCUUGACGGUACCUAAUCAGAAAGCCACGGCUAACUACGUGCCAGCAGCCGCGGUAAUACGUAGGUGGCAAGCGUUAUCCGGAAUUAUUGGGCGGUAAGCGCGCGUANGCGGUUUUUUAGUCUGAUGUGAAAGCCCACGGCUCAACCGUGGAGGGUCAUUGGAAACUGGAAAACUUGAGUGCAGAAGAGGAAAGUGGAAUUCCAUGUGUAGCGGUGAAAUGCGCAGAGAUAUGGAGGAACACCAGUGGCGAAGGCGACUUUCUGGUCUGUAACUGACGCUGAUGUGCGAAAGCGUGGGGAUCAAACAGGAUUAGAUACCCUGGUAGUCCACGCCGUAAACGAUGAGUGCUAAGUGUUAGGGGGUUUCCGCCCCUUAGUGCUGCAGCUAACGCAUUAAGCACUCCGCCUGGGGAGUACGACCGCAAGGUUGAAACUCAAAGGAAUUGACGGGGACCCGCACAAGCGGUGGAGCAUGUGGUUUAAUUCGAAGCAACGCGAAGAACCUUACCAAAUCUUGACAUCCUUUGACAACUCUAGAGAUAGAGCCUUCCCCUUCGGGGGACAAAGUGACAGGUGGUGCAUGGUUGUCGUCAGCUCGUGUCGUGAGAUGUUGGGUUAAGUCCCGCAACGAGCGCAACCCUUAAGCUUAGUUGCCAUCAUUAAGUUGGGCACUCUAAGUUGACUGCCGGUGACAAACCGGAGGAAGGUGGGGAUGACGUCAAAUCAUCAUGCCCCUUAUGAUUUGGGCUACACACGUGCUACAAUGGACAAUACAAAGGGCAGCGAAACCGCGAGGUCAAGCAAAUCCCAUAAAGUUGUUCUCAGUUCGGAUUGUAGUCUGCAACUCGACUACAUGAAGCUGGAAUCGCUAGUAAUCGUAGAUCAGCAUGCUACGGUGAAUACGUUCCCGGGUCU
rnacentral:rRNA from 1 species